UUUUUUUUUUCACCCUGCUUUAAAAGCCCUUGGGCCCUUCCCAACUGGGUGCCAGCCAACUGUGGCUGCCUGGGACACUCCAUCUUAAGUCCCUGUGCCUCUGCUGUGUGUUACUGAGUGCCUAGGCCGUGCCAGCCUGUAUUCAUCUGUACUAUGACCUGAAGAGGCAGAGGCCAUCAUUGUUGGUCUGGUCUCCACCUGGGGAAACUGAGGUGUCUCUGUGGUGACGAGCAGGGCUUCAUCCAGUGCCUCUGUCCCCACCGAGGGGACUGUGGGAGCCAUGGAGGGUGUGUGAGCAACAGGUGAGACUGGAGCCAGCUGAAAACUGGGAGACCGACCCAGCCAACAAACAAUGUCGGUCUCUGUCCUGGCACCCGCAGGAAACAAGCUCCUACUUCCAGAAAAAGUGCUCCUGGGACUCCAGGAUACCAAGCAUCUGGGUAAGGUACAAUGCUUAACCACUUAACGCAAUCAGGAAGCAACAGCCAUGCAUUCGGGAAAGGAACUUCAGUGUUGUGUGGCUCAGUCUCCAGACCUAACUUUCCCUUUGGUACAGACGCGGUGGUACAUGCCACCACUUAGGCAGGAGGAUCACUCGAGCCCAGAAGAUCAAGACUAGUGUGAGCAACAAAAUCCUUCCCUGGCACCGGUUCCAAGAGGACCUGGUUCUUAGGCAGCAUCUGUGUCUCUGUUUUGUAAGACACACAGAGUAUCCUUAACCCACUGCAGAUAUUUCCCUGGGUCCAUGGUCAAUCAACACCACCUUUCAGUCUCCAGCCUCUUAACCAGCCCAGGGCUGAGUGUUGUUCAUAGUAUUAAUAUGUUUCUGGCUGGGCUCAGUGGCUCAUGCCUGUAAUCCCGGCACUAUGGGAGGCUGAGGCAGGCGGAGUUCAAGACCAGCCUGGCCAACAUAGUAAAACCCCGUCUCUACUAAAAAUACAAAAAUGAGCCGGGUGUGGUGGUGCG
rnacentral:lncRNA from 1 species